rnacentral:tRNA from 1 species
CAAAAUGUAGCUAAAUAUAGCAUUUGCUUACCCUAAAAGAUUUCAGGUAACCGUGACCAUUUUG